CCUACGGGCGGCAGCAGUGGGGGAUAUUGCACAAUGGGGGAAACCCUGAUGCAGCGACGCCGCGUGAGGGAAGACGGUCCUAUGGAUUGUAAACCUCUUUUGUCGGGGAGCAAAAGACGCCACGCGUGGCGUUCCGAGAGUACCCGAAGAAAAAGCAUCGGCUAACUCCGUGCCAGCAGCCGCGGUAAUACGGAGGAUGCGAGCGUUAUCCGGAUUUAUUGGGUUUAAAGGGUGCGCAGGCGGAAGAUCAAGUCAGCGGUAAAAUUGAGAGGCUCAACCUCUUCGAGCCGUUGAAACUGGUUUUCUUGAGUGAGCGAGAAGUAUGCGGAAUGCGUGGUGUAGCGGUGAAAUGCAUAGAUAUCACGCAGAACUCCGAUUGCGAAGGCAGCAUACCGGCGCUCAACUGACGCUCAUGCACGAAAGUGUGGGUAUCGAACAGGAUUAGAUACCCUAGUAGUC
rnacentral:rRNA from 1 species